GACGAACGCUGGCGGCGUGCCUAAUACAUGCAAGUAGAGCGCACAGUUUAUACCGUAGCUUGCUACACCAUAAACUGUGAGUUGCGAACGGGUGAGUAACGCGUAGGUAACCUGCUUGGUAGCGGGGGAUAACUAUUGGAAACGAUAGCUAAUACCGCAUAAUAUUGAUUAUUGCAUGAUAAUUGAUUGAAAGAUGCUAUUGCAUCACUACCAGAUGGACCUGCGUUGUAUUAGCUAGUAGGUGAGGUAACGGCUCACCUAGGCGACGAUACAUAGCCGACCUGAGAGGGUGAUCGGCCACACUGGGACUGAGACACGGCCCAGACUCCUACGGGAGGCAGCAGUAGGGAAUCUUCGGCAAUGGACGAAAGUCUGACCGAGCAACGCCGCGUGAGUGAAGAAGGUUUUCGGAUCGUAAAGCUCUGUUGUAAGAGAAGAACGGGUGUGAGAGUGGAAAGUUCACACUGUGACGGUAUCUUACCAGAAAGGGACGGCUAACUACGUG
rnacentral:rRNA from 1 species